GAUGAACGCUAGCGGCAGGCCUAAUACAUGCAAGUCAAACGGUGUAGCAAUACACAGUGGCGCACGGGUGCGUAACACGUAUGCAACCUACCUUACAUUGGGGGAUAGCCUUUCGAAAGGGAGAUUAAUACCGCAUAAGACAGUAACUAGGCAUCUAGUAGCUGUUAAAGAUUUAUCGAUGCAAGCUGGGCAUGCGUCCAAUUAGUUAGUUGGCGAGGUAAUGGCUCACCAAGACGAUGAUUGGUAGGGGAACUGAGAGGUCAAUCCCCCACACUGGCACUGAGAUACGGGCCAGACUCCGCCGGGAGGCAGCAGUAGGGAAUAUUGGGCAAUGGGCGCAAGCCUGACCCAGCCAUGCCGCGUGCAGGAAGAAGGCGUUAUGCGUUGUAAACUGCUUUUAUACAGGAAGAAACGACCCUUGCGAGGGGCAUUGACGGUACUGUAUGAAUAAGCACCGGCUAACUCCGUGCCAGCCGCCGCCGUAACAC
rnacentral:rRNA from 1 species